rnacentral:rRNA from 1 species
AAUAGAUACCCGGGUAGUCCACGCCGUAAACGACGAGUGCUAAGUGUUGGGGGGGUUUCCGCCCCUCAGUGCUGCAGCUAACGCAUUAAGCACUCCGCCUGGGGAGUACGGUCGCAAGACUGAAACUCAAAGGAAUUGACGGGGGCCCGCACAAGCGGUGGAGCAUGUGGUUUAAUUCGAAGCAACGCGAAGAACCUUACCAGGUCUUGACAUCCCGGUGACCACUAUGGAGACAUAGUUUCCCCUUCGGGGGCAACGGUGACAGGUGGUGCAUGGUUGUCGUCAGCUCGUGUCGUGAGAUGUUGGGUUAAGUCCCGCAACGAGCGCAACCCUUAUUCUUAGUUGCCAUCAUUCAGUUGGGCACUCUAAGGAGACUGCCGGUGAUAAACCGGAGGAAGGUGGGGAUGACGUCAAAUCAUCAUGCCCCUUAUGACCUGGGCUACACACGUGCUACAAUGGACGGUACAAACGGUUGCCAACCCGCGAGGGGGAGCUAAUCCGAUAAAACCGUUCUCAGUUCGGAUUGUAGGCUGCAACUCGCCUACAUGAAGCC